AUGGGUAUAAGGGAAGACCUUUGGGCAGAUGAGAAUGGUGAUUUUCGGCUUGGUGCAUUUACAAUUCCAAAGGAUAAGAAAGUGACCUUCCUUACAACUUUAAAGAAUAUCUUAAUGCCCGAUGGUUAUUCGAGUAAUAUAUCUCGUUGUAUACAUCUAGAAUCAAAGAGGAUCUUUGGAUUAAAAAGUCAUGAUUGUCACAUCAUUAUGGAACAAUUACUGCCGAUAGCAAUUCGCAAUGUGCUUCCAAAUCAAGUUGUAGCAAUUUUGGUAGAGUUCUGUUCCUUUUUUAGACACAUUUGUCUGAAAAACUUGAGCCUCAUGGACCUUGAAAAACUACAAAAACGGAUUGUUAUCACUCUUUGCCACCUAGAGAUGUUGUUCCUUCCAUCCUUUUUUACUGUAAUGGUUCAUUUAACUGUCCAUUUAGUGGACGAAGUAAUACAAGGUGGUCCAGUACAUUAUCGAUGGAUGUAUUUUGUUGAAAGGUAAAAUAUCUUAUUUUUAAAAACUUUUGUCUCAAAGUAAAUGCUUGUUCUAAUACUAUGUAAUUUUAAUGGUAGAUUGUUAGGUCAUUUCAAGUCACUUAUAGGGAACAAAUCACAGGCAGAAGGAUGUAUAGCUGAAGGUCAAAAAAUUGAAGAAGCUCUAACUCUUUAUUCUCGUUAUUUUGAGGAUAUCGAAUCGAGGGUAAAUAGGCCUAAACGAGUAAAUGAUGAAACAAAUCAUGAUGAGGUUCCUGAAAGGUCAUCUAUGUUCCCUCGACAAGGUAAAGUUGUCGGAGGCUUCAUAACAUUUGCUUUGACUCAUUUGGAGAAAACUCAAGCUCAUCGAUAUGUAUUACUUAAUUGCGCUUCAGCAAAGCCAUUUAUUGAUGAAUUUAGGCAACACAUUAAAAGGAGUUCAAGAGGCAGAAAACCUUCGAUAACAGAGGUAGAAAAGAGAAUUAAUAGAGAGUUUACUGAUUGGUUUCCUAAGCGGAUAAUGAAUCCAGAUAUAGAAGACACAAUCUCUGAUGAUAUAAAGUUUUUAGCACAAGGUCCAGCGCCAUAUGCAAGAAGAUUCACUGCUUAUAACAUUAAUGGGUUCAAAUUUCGAACUUUGUCAAGAGAACAAGGAUUGAAAACUCAAAAUAGUGGAGUUUUUCUUAUGUCUAACACUUCUUGCGUUGCAUCUAGUGCUGAUAGAAAUGCAAGACAAGCAGAUUUGCCAUAUUAUGGGAAGUUGGAAGAUAUUAUUGAGCUUAACUAUUAUGGAAAGUUCAGGGUUGUGCUUUUCAAAUGCAAGUGGGCUGACACUACUCGAGAUAGAGGGUUUAAAAGAGAUGUUUGGAACUUUAAUUGUGUCAAUUUUUCUAAAUUGAUUCACACCGGUGAUCGUGAGGAUGAUGAUCCUUAUAUUGAAGCAUCACAAGCAAAUAUGGUUUUCUAUGUUGAUGAUGAAACAGAUAAAGAAUGGAGUGUAGCUAUACAUUUACAACCAAGAGAUGUGUUUGACAUGGGACAAGUUGAUGAAGAAGAGAUAUUUGAGAAUGAGCCCUACCAACAACAAGAAUUUGAAAAUUUUUUCGAUGUUGAUUAUGGAAAUGUCCAAAUCUCAACAGAGGAGCAUAUGUCGAACACACAUAGCAUGCUUUUUAGUUUUGGUGUAAAGGAAAAACUAUUUGUAUAUGCUAAUCACAUCACUCUUUUAUUAAGAUUUGAACUUUUCAUGUGUGUGUGGAUCUGGAUACAAAUUUCUUAUGAAAAUCUGCAGUCUUAUAACUGGAUGAACCAGUAAUCUUUACAAGUAUUGCAAUAACAGUAUUUUUUUUAAGAAUUUCUUAUUUAUCUUAUCUUUGGUUUAUUGUAGAAAUGGCAAAGACCAAGCGCUUGCAGAACUUGCAAAACUCAGUUCAAACACAACCUACAUUGUCAGUUCAGCCCAACGCACAACCAACCACAUCACAAUCGAUUUCAUCAGUUCAGGCGAAAAAACAGAUGACUUCCUCAGUUCAGGCUACAUCACAGCCGGUUCAGUCAACUCAGGCUGCAUCACAGUCUAUUUCCUCAAAUCAGGCUGUAUCACAUUCGACUUCAUCAAGUCAGGCCGAAUCACAACCGAAAUCAUUUAAGAAGCGUGUUGUUGGACGUGAGUCUACGGAGUAUUGGACCGUAGAAGCAAUAGAUUCAGAAGGAAAAAAAAAAAACUCAAAGUGAAAGUCAAAGAAGUGCUAAAUUUAUCUGGAGAAGAUCGUAUUGUGGUCAAUUUUGACUACCUGGAUUGUCCAUUUGGAGAAGCACAACCCCUUCUUUCUGGUUUUUGUGGAAUUUUAGCUGCUGAUUCGUCCUUAUUUCCAAUGCACUUUGACAAAUGGCCAAAUAUGCCUAUGUCAUACUUCGAUAGCGUCUUUGAUCAAAUCAUAGUGGAAAUGUGCAACAGAAAUGCUGAAAGUCGAAAGAAACAAAUCAUUCCACACACAGGUGGAUCCAAAGCUAACUCUAGAAGAAGGGCUGAAAUGAUGGCUGAGACCGGUCAAAUGCCUGGGCGAGCAGAACUUUAUCUUGCUACUCAUAAGAAUGUAGAUGGAGCAUAUGUAAAUGAAGCGGCAAAAGUUAUCUGUGUAAGUUAGUUAAUGGGGGAAAUAAUAGCACUCCAGUUCCUUGGUUGUGUCAAGUCUGUCCCUAUUCUAUUAACAAGUUAAGUCAAGCAGUUUAUGUUUAGUCUCUUAUUUAUUUUAAACCUGAGAUUCUCUGUUAAUAUUUUCGUCAUUGCUAUUGUUCAAAUCAGUUUGAUGGUGCCUUGUUUAGUAUAGUGUGCUGUCAUUUUGAAGUGAUUUAAAAUCCUUGCUUGAGUAAAUGAUUUAAAAUUAUGUCUCACUAAUUAUCUCUCACUUGGAUUGAAUAUAUGCAUGUACUUUGCUUAUUUUAUGAAUGCUAAACUCAGGAGUAAAGGAAUUCCUAACUCAGGAAUAUGUGAAUGCACUUUGAUUAUAUUUAGGUAAUACAUCUUUGUUCUCAAUUACUUUUUAAAAUUUUGAUAAAGUGUUCUGUGUGUGUACUAUACUCAGGAAAAAAUUCAGCAAACUCUGAGUCAAAGCACUGUGGAUGAGUCUAUAAUAUCGCCAGAUGAUGCAGUUGGAAAAAUUCUAGGAAAAGAGCACUCUGGAAGGGUAAGGU